CCCUCCCUCCCCAUCACCUAUCUCCUGGCCAAUCUCUUCCCUUCCCUGAACCUGCCGAAGACCCAGAGAAUCUCCUAGACUCUCCCAUUGCUGACGACUUCAUCCACCAUCAAAGCCUCCACCAGGCUCCUCGGCCUAGCCACUGAAGACUGACGAGGCCCAGGGCCCCUGGCCCCCACUGGCAUCACUGCAUGGAGCCCAGUAUAACUCUACUGGUAGCAGAGGAUGCAGUGUUCUGGUAGCCAUCUGGGAAGCAGAGACCGAGCCCUUACCAGACAUCACACCUAUUGGCACUUUGCUCUUGGACUUCCCAGCCUCCAGAACU